rnacentral:rRNA from 1 species
UGGGGAAUAUUGGGCAAUGGGCGCAAGCCUGACCCAGCAACGCCGCGUGAGGGAAGAAGGUCUUCGGAUUGUAAACCUCUGUCCUUGGGGACGAAAAAAAUGACGGUACCCAAGGAGGAAGCUCCGGCUAACUACAUGCCAGCAGCCGCGGUAAUACGUAGGGAGCGAGCGUUGUCCGGAAUUACUGGGCGUAAAGGGUGCGUAGGCGGCAUGGCAAGUCAGAUGUGAAAUCCCCGGGCUUAACUCGGGGGGUGCAUUUGAAACUACCUUGCUUGAGUGCAGGAGAGGAAAGCGGAAUUCCUAGUGUAGCGGUGAAAUGCGUAGAUAUUAGGAAGAACACCAGUGGCGAAGGCGGCUUUCUGGACUGUAACUGACGCUGAUGCACGAAAGCGUGGGGAGCAAACAG